rfam:Salmo salar isolate Sally breed double haploid chromosome ssa01, whole genome shotgun sequence.
UUCCCUGUGGCUCAGUUGGUAGAGCAUGGUGUUUGCAACGCCAGCAUGCUGUGUGCAAUGCCAGGGUUGUGGGUUCGAUUCCCACGGGGGGAC